UACGUAGGGGGCGAGCGUUGUCCGGAUUUAUUGGGCGUAAAGAGCUCGUAGGCGGUUCGAUAAGUCGGAUGUGAAAUCUCCACGCUCAACGUGGAGGGGCCAUUCGAUACUGUCGUGACUCGAGUCCGGUAGGGGAGUGUGGAAUUCCCGGUGUAGCGGUGAAAUGCGCAGAUAUCGGGAGGAACACCUAUGGCGAAGGCAGCUCGCUGGGACGUUACUGACGCUGAGACGCGAAAGCGUGGGGAACAAACAGG
rnacentral:rRNA from 1 species